AAGGUGAUGUAGAAUCAAUCAAGAAGAAGAAGAAGAGGAGGAGGAGGAGAAGAGAGGGGAAACUGGGGGAGGAGAAGAGAGAUGUGAUUAGACAAUAAUUUUCAUUUUUCAUCUAAAACUGCUUGUCAAUCCAAAUUACAAUAAUAUAAAUACCAAAAUAAUAAACUUGGGCUUGGGCAAACCCAUAUACAAGCCCAAUGAGACAUAAAGCCUAAAAUAAAAGAUAAAAUGUUCCAACAAAUGUUCUAACAAAUGGCUCGAUGAGGAUGAUGUCCGCAUCAACUCUCCCGGGGUGGGAGAAAAACUCGACCUCGUCGAGGAGGUAGAUCACAAAAGGCUGCUAUUAAUCUCCUAGCCACAAACUGAGCGGUUGAGCAAACUUCUUUCGACGUCGAUAUACACGCAAGGGUGGUGGUCCAGGUAAGGGAAGAUCUUGCUGACUCCUAUAAUACUCCAACAAAUCAGGAUCAAGCUGUUGAAGUGUCUCUUUGGAGAGCCAAGUACAAUCAGAAUCAGGGCGGUCCUCCCAACGAACAAGGAAGUGCUGAAUGUCUCCAUCCUUAGUUAAUAUGGUCUGUGCAUCUAGAAUAGUAUCAAUUUUAUCUUUAUGUGCUGUAGUAGGUGGAAUUGGGGCAGGGAUAACAUGUUCAGGAUGAGGAUCCAGAGAUGGAGGUGUGAAAGGAUCAUCAGCGAGGUGAAAUUGGCCUUUGUAAGCAACUAAGUCCUCAACAUUAAAAGUAGGAUGGUAGCCAAAAUGUGAGGGUAAGUCGAUGACAUAAGCAUUUGGACCAACACGCUUUAAAAUUUUAAAAGGACCAGAACUACGAGCUUGUAAUUUAGAAGUAGGUCCAGAUGGACGCCGUUCCAGUCUAAUUCGAAUCAUUACAUAAUCUCCAACAUUAAAUUCAACGUGGCGUUUGUGCAAAUCAGCUCGAAGUUUAUAUAGUGCAUUACUUGCUUCCAGUUGUUUAUUGAUCUCAAUAUGCAAAUCACGCAAAUGUUGUGCAAAAGACUCAGCUGACACAGACACACUAGCAUGUGGAGACAUGGGAAUAAGGUCUAAUGGCUUCCUAGGCUUAAAACCAUGAACAACCUCAAAAGGACUCGUACCUAUAGACCGAUUCACUGAACUGUUAUAUGCAAGUUGGGCAGUAGGGAGAAUUAAAUCCCAAUUCCUAAGAUUUUCCUGGACUAGACAUCUUAAUAGAUUACCAAGACUGCGGUUAACAACUUCAGUUUGACCGUCUGUUUGUGGAUGAUAUGCAGUAGAGAAUUUUAGUUUAGUGCCAACCAUACUCCAUAGGGUUCGCCAAAAAUGGCUAGUGAAACGAACAUCCCUAUCCGAGGCAAUGGUCUUAGGGAGGCCAUAUAGCUUGACGAUCUCAUGAAAGUAUAACUUAGCAACCUUAGAUGCAUCGGAAGUCUUGUUACAGGGAAUAAAGUGUACCAUUUUCGAGAAGCGAUCUACGACAACGAAAAUGGAGUCGUGUUUCUUUGGGGUACGUGGCAAUCCUAGCACGAAAUCCAUACUAAUGUCUUACCAAGGACAACUAGGGAUGGGGAGAGGAGUGUAGAGGCCUACAUUUUGCCUUUUUUGCUUAGAUCGUUGACAGGUGUUGCAUGUGCCAAUAAUCUUGGCCACAUCUGUCUUUAAACUGGGCCAAUAGAAUUGAGGUUCAAUCUCCUCUAUGGUCUUAUCACGCCCAAAAUGUCCAGCCAACCCACCAGCAUGACUUUCCCACUCUAUAAAGUCUCGUACUGAAGUCCUUGGGAUGCACAACUUAUUGGAUUUAAAAAGAUAGCCCUCCUCCAAACGGAAACCAUCAGUGGUGUCCAACUCCCCAUUUUGCAAAGCAAGAAAAAUGUCUUUGAAAUCGGGACAUAGCUCGUACUCUUCCUUAAGUCUUUCAAACCCUAGAACCUUAACACUCAUGAUGGACAACAAGGAAAUGUGACGGCUUAAAGCGUCAGCAGCUCGAUUUUCAACACCCUUUUUAUGCUUUAAGACAAAAGAAUAGGCCUGCAAAUAUUCGAUCCAGCGGCCAUGCCUAG
rnacentral:lncRNA from 1 species